GCUGGUGUAGCUGAGGGGCUUAGCAAGGGUUUUGUAAACCUUAGACGGUGGUUCGAUUCCAUCCUCCAGCACCA
rnacentral:tRNA from 1 species